GGAGCGUACCGGGACUUGGGGGAAGGUUGGAAAUGUUAAGGGAUUUGUCUAACCCUGUUUAAGACUCCAAGGUCAACAGCAACUCCUUAAGAUGGAUGACGCUUCAAUUGUGUAUUUUUAGAGCUACAUUCCAAAAGUUGUCACAAUUAUCAGUCACUACUUGCCGGCAGAGCAGCUGAAGUCUGCGGAAAAACUUCUUUCCCUUGCUUGCCAGAGGCCGGGCGCCCACAUGGGGUCUCUGAACAAAAUGAAUUUCAUUACAAGGCUUUCUGCUUUAUGUCUGAGGAAAAGCAAGAUGCAACACAGGCACCAAAGUAAUAGACGACCAGCUGCUCCACUUGGAUCACGGAUUUUAACUGAUCCUUCUAAGGUCUUUGAGCAUAACAUGUGGGACCAUAUGCAGUGGUCACAAGAAGAAGAGGAGAGUGCCAAGAAAAAAGCAGCAGAGAACUCGCUUGUGAAAGUUCAAUGGGAAGACCAAGAUAAAUAUGAGAGAGAAGCCAGUAAAUAUUGGAAUGAAUUUUACAAGACCCAUAAAAAUAACUUUUUCAAGGAUCGUAAUUGGCUAUUUCUGGAAUUUCCAGAAAUUCUUCCAGAAGAAAAGAGACAAGAAUUGAGAAGAGAAGAAAGAUCUUCAGAACACAGAAAAAUAAAUAGUACCAACAGUUUUUCACACAAAAAUGAAAUGUUUGAUGAAGGAGAAAAAUACUGGAAGAAAAAUUAUCGAGGUGCUUCUCCUGCUGUACAAGGAUGUGUAUAUAAUAAAAACAAAGCAGAAACAAUUAGUGAAAAUCCUCAGGGUAAAAAUUGCGGAGAAGAACUUGACAGGCUAGAAUCUUUCCCUGGAAGUGAUGCCACUUAUAGAAUAUUAGAGGUUGGUUGUGGAGCUGGAAACAGCGUCUUUCCUAUUUUGGAAGUUCUAUGCAAUACACCUGGAACCUUUCUAUACUGUUGUGAUUUUGCUUCAGGAGCAGUGGAGCUGGUAAAGUCACAUUCGUCCUACAAUUCAGCCUGGUGUUCUGCCUUUGUUCAUGAUGUGUGUGAUGACGCUUUACCCUAUCCUUUUCCAGAUGAGAUCCUGGAUGUCAUUCUCCUUGUCUUUGUGCUCUCUACUAUUCAUCCUGACAGGAUGCAAGGGGUUGUAAAUAGGUUGGCUAAGCUACUGAAACCUGGAGGAAUGUUGUUAUUUCGAGACUAUGGAAGAUAUGAUACAGCUCAACUUCGUUUUAAAAAAGGUCAUUGCUUGUCAGAAAAUUUUUAUGUACGAGGAGAUGGAACCAGAGUGUAUUUCUUUACCAAAGGCACUCCAAGAGUGAGAUUUGGAGUAUUUAAGGGAUCUACUAAAGUUCAGAAAUGAAACACAGGUUAUCUAGAACAAUGGAUCUUUCCACAGUAAUAGCAAAGCUUGACCAUGUGAGAACAGGAUUUUCUUUGGAAACAGUUCAGCUCUGUCUCAGAAACUACAGAUAAGGAACGAUCCUUGAACCUGUCUCAUCUGAGACAGGCAUUGCUUUCACUGAUGUUUUUAUGACAGCUGAAUGUGAAUGGUGAAUGUAUCUUUGGAAGGCAGAAGGUGAGGUGCAUUGUCUUUUAGUGGUCAAGUCUGAUAGACAUCCUUUUUUAUGUGUUGGUAUUGAGUUUUAUAUAAGAUUUUGCAAAAGUGAAAAUAAGUUUUCCCUAGGGAGAAAGAUAAGAAAUAAAGGAUUAGGAUAUCUCUCCGUACAAUAACUCCUACUGUGAAAUUCUAGCCCUAUUUGUAAUGCUAGUUUAAUAGAUGGAAUUGAUGAUCUUAAAAAGGUCUAUGAUUCUAAUAAGAGCUUUGCUACUGACUUCAGGAUGAUCACAGUUUUACUCCUAAGGUGCAGUUGUGCUUUUCUAGGAAAGCUAAAGUAUAAAAUACAGCUUCUGCCAGCACACCAUCAAUGCAGUAGGAAGGGAAGAGGAUAACAUUGAAUUACAUUCAUAGCCAAUAAUAGCUGCUGUGAGCACCCUGAUGAUCAGUGUAUUAAUGUUAGUCAUCAGCUUUUUGGGUUUGUAUAUGAUUAUUUUCUUCAAAUCUGAAUGAAGUAGACUCAAGAUGAAUUUGAGUUCUUUAUGGAACUGUAGUUAGUAUUUUUUUUAAAACUCUUUAAAAAAUGUCAGAUGUGGUAAAGCUUCUUAGAUUUUUAUUAAUAAAGCACACCAUUUAUAACUAACUAAGUUUUGAAGCCCUCCAAGGCACUGUUUAAUUUUUCAGCUCUCUUUUUUUGGUUCUAUCUAGUUCUGUAUUAGGUUCCUAUCAUCAGGUCUUGCCUUUCGUAAAGCAGACAUUCUCAUGCACACAUUUCUGGGACGUAUUGUGCACAUCAUGAAAGAAGGAAAAUGACUCUUGAUUGGGAUCCCAGUCUUCACUGACCCACUGCUCAGUGGGUAUUAGAUAGUGUGCUUGGCUAUCAGCAACAUUGCAGAGGGUCUUUGGCCAGUACAUUGCCUACAAGUCAUGGAUUGAAGACUGUUCCUUCAUAUAUUUCAGGCAGAGCUAACAUACUCUUUUUGAUAGGGCUGUUUUGAUGUCAGCUAAGAAAAUAACUCUUUGAUGUGUUUGCAUGAGAAUGAAUCCUGUAGAUAAAAUUAUAUUGCAUAGUAGUUUCCUGCAGCUCCCCAGAUACUUAUUAUUCGGAAAUUUAAUUCAGCCUCUCCCUAAGAAUUGAGGUCUCCACUUUGUACUUCUGAUUGCUUCUCUCAGCUCAAUUAAUGACAUGGAAGCACUUGUUCUUUCUCUGAAUAGUGUCUGGGUGCCUCCUGCCAGAGCAAUGGAGAUCACCUUCUGCUGAGCUUAUAGAUACAUGCAGGAAUAGAGCCAUAAUGGGUGCUUCAGUGCACUGUGUAAUAUCCUCUUCCAAAUUAAGGAGGCUCUGAGACCAAUCAGUUUUUCCCUGCCUGUAUUUGAUUGCACACUUAAAAUCAGCUGACUCUCAGAUCAAGUGGUGCCUUGUAGCUUUAAGCUCAGCAGUGGCUGUUGUCUGUGUGAGGGAAUUUUUCUGUCACUAUAAAAGGCAAAACCAAGACUAAAGAUACUAAAGAUGGCCCUGGAAUUUUUUUGCAAUGAUGCUCCCUGAGAAACUUGAAAUUUCUUGAUUGCAAAUAGGAAAACUCUUGAAGGUUCCUACUUGGUAGUACAUGGUAGAGAGAACUUGAGAAGGGAAGAAAAGGGUUUAAUUGAAUACUUUCAAAAAAUAAAGUGAAAAAAAUUAUGUAUAUCAAAUCAGAAGGAAAUAGAAUAGUAGGGUGAGGUGACAAAGUCCUCUUACAAUCUGAUAGUACUCAAGACUGGGCAAAGUUCUGCAUUGUGGUAUUAGAUGUCAACAUCCUGAGAUAUUCAGCUUGGCAUAGUGAGACCACUUCAUUGCCUCAUUUCAUGCUAGAGUGUUUCAGGCUAUGUGCUGAAUAUUUCCAGUACUUGGCAUCUAAUACUAUGUGCAAUAGAUUAAAUUUUCCUAUUUUGACAGGGAAUAUCUUUAGCAGGAUGCCUUGAAAUGCCUUAGGGAUUCAAGCUGUCCCUUAAUCAAUGCUGCAGAGGAUGCAGUUUUGAUUUUUUUCCUCUAAUAUAUGAACUAUGACACUAGAUUCAUCCUGGCAUACAUCUGCCAGAGCAGACUGAAGGCAUUCAGUGAGAGACACUUCAUGACCAGCCAACAAAUAGGAGGCAAUCUAAAAAAGGGGAAUUGAAAUAUAAUAUAGAUGGGAAGUAUAAGAUAUCUCAAAAUAAGGUCAUAAUGGAGGACAUAAAUUGCACAUCUAUGCAGACAGCAACAGGACAUCCUCAAAAUAUCCUACAGUAUCUGCAUACUGAUACUGACUUUUACAAAUAUGCAACAGAUAUGGAUUGUUUCUGAAAAGAACAGCUAUGGGUCAAGAUGUAACAUAACAGAGAAAACACCUCUGUGAAUAUAAAUAUUUAUUAUUAGUGGAGAGAAACUGCUUCCUACUAAAAUUGGCAAGAAUGAUGAAUUCAACCCUCUUAGUAUUUAUUGGAGAAUUAGAAGGCUAGUGAGGUGCAGCGAAAACCCCUUUUCUGCCUUCUAGAAAAAUCAGCAAAGCUAACACUGUCAGACCAUAAUGAAGAAUACUCCAGCAUAUUGAGAGCUACUGGGCUGCAGAUCCACCACUAAAAAUCUCCAGUGCCUGAUACUGAACCAAAAAGAGAAAAAUACAAAAUAAAAAUUCCUACAUUACCUGAAGGACUUGCAGAAUUCUUUUCCAUCUGUAUUUUUUGUGAUUGUUAAUACUUGUGUGAAACAAUGCUGAACUGCCAUAGAGCAAAUUACAAGCAAGAGAUGACUGUGUCUAGUUUGAUCUUUGAGCUUCUUUGAUUAGAUGCAGAUAAGAGUCAAUGUCAUCUCUACAUAUUGUGGCAUGUUUAACAUCUGCUGGUCCUUUCUGGGUUGGUUUGCAGUUUGAGUCCUUAACUUAUGACCUUUUCUUUUUCUUUGAUUUAGCCAUUGAUUACACCCCAGAAGAUGUAAUUCAUUUGAACUACAAAAUCUCUGCUUGUUGUGGUACUAAUAAGCAUUGUGCCUACUGAAAGCUGUAGCAGAAGAGAAAGGGAGGAGGCCUAACAUGCCUGACACUGUCUUUUGUCUGUGUUGCAGCAAGGGGAGAAGGAAAGAUGUAUAGGAAUAGUUUUAUCAUCAUGCAUACAUAUACACACACAUAAGCAUUUUUAUUUGUUUAUCUAAUCUCCUGGAUGCUUUUUCAAUGCCUGUUUUAACCCUUUGUUCUUGAAGUAAGCAAGGAAAAACUAUAUGACAGGCAUUUAAUUUUUUUCUUUCUUGAGAGCAGCUAGUGUCCCUUGUGUUGAGAAGAAAAUAGUACCGUGUGGAAAGCUAAAUUUCAAUUAACACAUCAAAGGGCAGUUUGUGGUGUUUUGCCUAUAACUAAGGCUUAACUGAGUUGCAGGACUCUGGGAAUUUUGUGUUUUCCUAUAUGCUCACUUACUGCAUUCUUAGCUCUCCUACAUUUCUAGUCUUCCUCUGCUUCUCCAGAUGGGACUAAUGACAGCAGUAUAAUCUUGUCGAAUAUGGUUCUUGCUGAGGAAUUAGAUGAACAGCUGCUGGGAACAGUCUGGGAAUACAAUUUGGUGAAAAAAAAGAGAUGAGGUACAAACAAAUUCCCUUAUGAUGCCAUUCAUUCUAUAUGCAGUAUUAUACCAGAGGGUGGAAAAAUGGGAAGGCCUAAAUUCAAUUUCAAUUUGAGCUGGUUUAAAAAGAAGCAAUUCUACAUACAUUGCAGCCACAAAAGCAUAUAUUUAUAGGCACAGGCUUUCACUUUGUAGGUAGAAACUGCACAGCUGGUUGUGUACAUCUGGUUUUUUGCAUGCAUAAGAACUUACUUUGACAGGCACAACUAUUGUACUUUCUUCUCAGUAUUUCCCAAACAGUUAUGCUAAUUCCUACAUUAUCUAGUUCAUAUCUCUUCUUCGUGCUUUAAACAAGGUUGGGAAGGGGAAGAAAACCCUACAUUUUGGCAUGCAGGACAAUCAGAAAUCCAAUCCAGAAAAUGAAAAAGUCAUUGGUAUGUGUCAGUGUUCCUGCAAUAUCCUCCCACUCACAUUUUUGCAUUGUAAAAAUCCAGCAUGCAAUUGUUGGUUAGGACUGGAAAUUAAAGCUAAUCUCCUCAGUUGCCUUAUGCAUGUCAUACACCAAUUGAAGCAAUGGCAUUUUGCUUUCUUGUCUUGCUACUUCAGUGAAUUUCUUCUCGGGUCCUUUACACCUAGCAGUGUCUGGGAAACACACACAGAAUUAAACAGGCCUGUCUACGGAAAUGGGAGAGCCAAAGACAAGAAUUGUGUUGAUUUUGGAUAAAGUAUCAUUUAGUGUAGUUCUAAUAAUUCACACUAUUUUGUAAAGUUUGGUGGGGAUCUUGGUAAUAUAGAACAUGCUGUGGCCUUUGGCCACACAUCCCAUAUUUUGAACCAGAUUUCCACCAACUUGUUUCCUUUCAUCCCACUGAUGGCCAGUAGCCAGUAGUAGGAGUUGGAUUCUUUUCUUGAUUGGUGGGUUAGAACACAUGGAAACCCUCUUAUGCUGUGUAUGUUUUGUAAACUACAAGAUUGGACUGAAAACAGCCAUUUUAGAGUUCUAGGAAAGUAAUUUUAAAUAAAUACUUCAAAAUAUUAUUCUGGAACUGAAUUUUUUCCAAUUUUUUUAAAU